CAUAAGGGUAAAAUGUAGAUUUUGGCUUAUAUCUCUGACACCAAAGCAUUUAGAGCAAAUCUGACGCGGGAUAAAUUGUUUAUCAGAUGAAGAUCUAUCUGCCCUGAAAUUUUCAGACAAAUCAGUUUCUGCCCCCAAAAUAGUAAUUUUAAAUAAAAUUUGCAGUUUUUGGUUAUUAUCUUGAAUAUUAUUAUAGAUAGAAAUGAACUGUAAACAGCAAUAAUGUUCAACAAAGAAAGGUCUACAACUAAGUCAACAUAACCAAAAUUUUCAAAUGACCCUUUAAGGAGAUAUCGCCCUUUAUAGUCAAUGUUUAACAAUUUUCAUAAAUUUUUGUUAAUUUUUGUUAAUUUUUAGGAAAUAUUUUCCACUGUAAUUACUGGGCAAAGUUCAUUAUAGAUAUAGAUAUUUGUAGCAACAAGAAUGUUCAGUAAAGUAAGAUCUACAAACACAUCACCAUCACAAAAAAACAAAAUUUGUCAUGAAUUUAUCUGUGUCCAUUUUUUAAUAUGCACAUAGACCAAGGUGAGCGACACAGGCUCUUGAGAGCCUCUAGUUAUAUAGAUUAAACCGUUGGUUUUCCCGUUUGAAUGGUUUUACAAUAGUAAUUGUUGAGGCCCUUUAAAGCUUGCUGUUCGGUGUGAGCCUAGACUCCGUGUUAAAGACCGUAUCUUGACCUAUAAUGGUUUACUUUUAUAAUGGUGACUUGGAUGGAGAGUUGUCUCAUUGGCACUCAUACCACAUCUUUCUAUAUCUAUGAAUUGUUUCGAUGUGUACAUAUAUUAUGAUAUAUAUUGUGUCAUUGUUACAUAUGUUGGAGGAAUGUAUCAUGUAAAUAAAAGCAUUGAAUUCCACAGA
rnacentral:lncRNA from 1 species